rnacentral:rRNA from 1 species
GCUACCUGGUUGAUUGUCUCGAAGAUUAAGCCAUGCAUGUGUAAGUAUGAAUUAAGUCAAAUUGUGAAACUGCGAAUGGCUCAUUAAAUCAGUUAUAGUUUGUUUGAUAGUAUCUGCUACUCCAAUAACCAUAGUAAUUCUAGAGCUAAUACAUGCAACAAAUCCUGACUUCUAGAAUGGAUGCAUUUAUUAGCCAAAAGGACAACGCGGGCUUUGCCCGUUGUUUUGAUGAUUCAUGAUAACUUGACGGAUUGCACGGCCAUCGUGUUGACGACACAUCAUUCAAAUUUCUACCCUAUCAACUUUCGAUUGUAGGAUAGAGGCCUACAAUGGUGGUAAUGGGUAACAGAGAAUUAUGGUUCGAUUCCGAAGAGGGAGCUUGAGAAAUGGCCACCACAUCCAAGGAAGGCAGCAGGGGUGCAAAUUACCCAAUCCUGACAUGGGGAGGUAGUGUCAAUAAAUAACAAUAGCGGGCUCUUACGGGUUUGGUAAUUGGAAUGAGUACAAUCUAAAUCCCUUAACGAGGAUCCAUUGGAGGGCACGUCUUAUGCCAGCAGUCGCGGUAAUUCUAGCUCCAAUAGUGUAUAUUUAAGUUGUUGCAGCUAAAAAGCUCGUAGUUGGAUCUUGGAUUGGGCAGAGCGGUCAGCCCCUGGUGUGCACCGGUCUGUUCAUCCCAUCUACCGGCGAUGCGCUUUUGGCCUUAACUGGCUGGGUCAUGCCUUUGGUGCUGUUACUUUGAAGAAAUUAGAGUACUCAAAGCAAGGCUACGCUUUAUAUACAUUAGCAUGGGAUAACAUCAUAAGAUUUCGGUCCUAUUGUGUUGGCCUUCGGUAUCAGAGUAAUGAUUAACAGGAACAGCCGAGGGGGCAUUCCUAUUUCAUAGUCAGAAGUGAAAUUAUUGGAUUUAUGAAUGAUGAACAACUGCGAAAGCAUUUGCCAAAGAUGUUUUCAUUAAUCAAGAAUGAAAAUUUGGGGCUCGAUGACGAUCAGGUAUCGUCCUAGUCUCAAUAGUAAACGAUGUCGACCAGGGAUCAAUGGAUGUUGCUUUAAGGACUCUGCCGGCACCUCAUGAGAAAUCAAAGUCUUUGGGUUUUGGGGGGAGUAUGGUCGCAAGGCUGAAACUUAAAGGAAUUGAUGGAAGGGCACCACCAGGAGUGGAGUCUGCAGCUUAAUUUGACUAAAUGUGGGGAAACUUACUAGGUCCAGACAUAGUAAGGAUUGACAAACUGAGAGCUCUUUCUUGAUUCUGUGGGUAGUGGUGCAUGGCCGUUCUUAGUUGGUGGAGCAAUUUGUCUGGUUAAUUUCAUUAACCAACGAGACCUCAGCCUGCUAACUAGCUAUGUGGAGGUGACCUUCUGCGGCCAGCAUUUUAGAGGCACUAUGGCCGAUUAGGCCAAGGAAGUUUAAGGCAAUAACAGGUCUGUGAUGCCCAUAGAUGUCUUGGGCCGCACGCGCGCUACACUGAUGUAUUCAACACAGCUUUGGCCGAGAGGCCUGGGUAAUCGUUGAAAUUUCAUUGUGAUGGGGAUAGAUCAUUGCAAUUGUUGGUCUACAACAAGGAAUUCCUAGUAAGCACGAGCCAUCAGCUUGCAUUGACUACGUCCCUGCCCUUUGUACACACUGCCUGUUGCUCCUACCGAUUGAAUGGUUCGGUGAAGUGUUCGGAUGGAGGCGAUUUGGGCAGUUCUCUGCUGGCAAUGUCGCGAGAAGUCCACUGAACCUUAUCAUUCAGAGGAAGGAGAAAUCGUAACAAGGUUUCCGUUGGUGAACCUGCGGAAG